GUCCCUGUAGCGCAAUAGAUAGCGCGUUGGACUUCUGAUCUAAAGGUCGUGUGUUCGAAUCCCACUUGGGAUG